rnacentral:rRNA from 1 species
AACGCCGAAGUCAAGCAUCAUUGGGCGCGGUCAGUACUUGGGUGGGUGACCACCUGGGAACACCGCGUGCCGUU